GAAACAGGUGCUAAUACCGCAUAACAUUGAAAAGCGCAUGCUUUUCAAUUAAAAGGCGCUUUUGGUGUCACUGAUAGAUGGACCCGCGGCGUAUUAGCUAGUUGGUGGGGUAACGGCCUACCAAGGCAAUGAUACGUAGCCGAGUUGAGAGACUAAUCGGCCACAAUGGGACUGAGACACGGCCCAUACUCCUACGGGAGGCAGCAGUAGGGAAUCUUCCACAAUGGGCGCAAGCCUGAUGGAGCAACGCCGCGUGCGUGAAGAAGGUCUUCGGAUCGUAAAGCGCUGUUGUUAGAGAAGAACACGGAUAAGAGUAACUGUUUAUGCGUUGACGGUAUCUAACUAGAAAGUCACGGCUAACUACGUGCCAGCAGCCGCGGUAAUACGUAGGUGGCAAGCGUUGUCCGGAUUUAUUGGGCGUAAAGCGAGCGCAGGCGGUCUUUUAAGUCUGAUGUGAAAGCCCCCGGCUUAACCGGGGAGGGUCAUUGGAAACUGGGAGACUUGAGUGCAGAAGAGGAAAGCGGAAUUCCAUGUGUAGCGGUGAAAUGCGUAGAUAUAUGGAGGAACACCAGUGGCGAAGGCGGCUUUCUGGUCUGUAACUGACGCUGAGGCUCGAAAGCGUGGGGAGCAAACAGGAUUAGAUACCCUGGUAGUCCACGCCGUAAACGAUGAGUGCUAAGUGUUGGAGGGUUUCCGCCCUUCAGUGCUGCAGCAAACGCA
rnacentral:rRNA from 1 species